CCUACGGGAGGCAGCAGUGAGGAAUAUUGGUCAAUGGACGAGAGUCUGAACCAGCCAAGUAGCGUGAAGGAUGACUGCCCUAUGGGUUGUACACUUCUUUUAUAAAGGAAUAAAACGAGGUACGUGUGCCUUUUUGCAUGUACUUUAUGAAUAAGGAUCGGCUAACUACGCGUCAGCAGCCGCGGUAAUACGGAGGAUCCGAGCGUUAUCCGGAUUUAUUGGGUUUAAAGGGAGCGUAGAGGGGUUGUUAAGUCAGGUGUGAAAGUUUGCGGCUCAACCGUAAAAUUGCAAUUGAAACUGGCGAACUUGAGUACAGUUGGGGUAGGCGGAAUUCGUGGUGUAGCGGUGAAAUGCUUAGAUAUCACGAAGAACCCCGGUUGCGAAGGCAGCUUACUAAACUGUAACUGACAUUGAUGCUCGAAAGUGUGGGUAUCAAACAGGAUUAGAUACCCCAGUAGUC
rnacentral:rRNA from 1 species